CCUACGGGAGGCUGCAGUGGGGAAUAUUGGACAAUGGGGGCAACCCUGACCCAGCCAUGCCGCGUGUGUGAAGAAGGCCCUCGGGUUGUAAAGCACUUUCAGUGAGGAAGAACGCCUGGUGGUUAAUACCCAUCAGGAAAGACAUCACUCACAGAAGAAGCACCGGCUAACUCCGUGCCAGCAGCCGCGGUAAUACGGAGGGUGCGAGCGUUAAUCGGAAUUACUGGGCGUAAAGCGCGCGUAGGUGGCUUGAUAAGCCGGUUGUGAAAGCCCCGGGCUCAACCUGGGAACGGCAUCCGGAACUGUCAAGCUAGAGUGCAGGAGAGGAAGGUAGAAUUCCCGGUGUAGCGGUGAAAUGCGUAGAGAUCGGGAGGAAUACCAGUGGCGAAGGCGGCCUUCUGGACUGACACUGACACUGAGGUGCGAAAGCGUGGGUAGCAAACAGGAUUAGAUACCCCAGUAGUC
rnacentral:rRNA from 1 species